rnacentral:lncRNA from 10 species
CCUUGUGGUGCCAGGCAGGAAUGGCUGCUUGGGGACCCACUGAGCUCCCAGACCUUUCUGCUGUAUCCUCUACCCCUGUAUUUCACUUGGCUCUCUAAAUUGACUCAGCUCCAAGUAAGGUCGGAAACUUCUCCCACAAACAGACCUUCAGUUUCUCCAGCGGGGGGCGCAGGAGGUUGCAGCCAGGCUAACAGAAACCCAGCCCUGCCCACUGGGUGAAACUGCAAGUCGAGAGCGUGGGAAACCAGCAAGUUGAGAGAGGAUCCAGAAGUAACCCCUUCUAAAACGGGAAAGAUGCCUUCCGAAAGCACUUGGCCCUAAAGAGAAAACACUAGGAGGAUGGGAACCAGGGACAGAGAAGCUACUUGCUCUGCAGCUGUUUGGGCCAGUAUGUUCCCUAAUCUUGAUGGCCAUCCUGGGCUUAUUUUCCUGAGAGUCUCUAAGUGACUCACUGCAUCACGUAAAACUAAGAAAAAGGAUGUCCUGAAUUUUCCUGCUUAGAGAGCUUGUUUUUCUUUCCUGUUGCAUCAAAGGGGUCUGUUAAACUUUCUAAAAGUACUAAUCUGACCUGAUAUCUGAAGUAACAGAUAGGAAUUUGGGCUCUUUAAAUGGAGCCCUUCCCCCAUACCUGCAUCUCAUUGAAGAGGCUGAACUUCAAAACAAAAUCAUGUUGGAGAAUUAAGUCUCGUUCCCAGAUUUAAUUUCUUAUUUUUAUAUUGUUGCAUAAGAAAUCUACUCUAUAAGGCAUCUAUUUUCAAAUUUGGAAAAUCUUAUUUUAAGUUCAUUUAUUUAAAGACCAACAAACAAAAACACCAAAUUCACUAGCCCAGGUCUUUAUGGACCACCAUCUCCCCUCCCCGCCUCCAUUUCUCCCUGGAGUAGUGAUUGUGGGGCCACUGCAUGAAUUUUACUCUAUUAUUUAUCUAAUGAGCAAAGCCAAGGCUGGCAAUGCUGAGAAUGCAUGAGGGAAAAAAAGAUAUCACAAUGACAGCACACUCUGCAGCGUUCCAUCCAAAAGCAAGUAAGUGACUCACUGUUCUGUAAAGCACAGGGCAGAUUCUUAUACGGAAAAACUACCCUCAGAAGUGCAUGUGAGACCCUAGUCUGUGUAAAGGAAUUUACUCUGGGUUUUCUUCACAUUGGCACUCAGGUAUGCGGGUGUGGGUUCACAGACAUUCCUUUCUGACUCAUUACCCACUUUGCCCCUGCUCCCCGCCCCCUUAGUGCUUGAGGCACUUUUUCCAGCCUCCCCUGGGCUGGGGCAGAGAUUGAUGGUAUCUUGGCACUCUCCAAAGAGAAGCUGUGCCCCUUUGCACUUUCUUUUUGUGACUAGUCCUUAAGACUUGCUGCCAAGCUUGGUUAAAUGGACAUGGCACAGCUGCCACUGAGCUGAAAGCUCUUACCUACGAGGGGUUGUGGUACAUGUAGACUCUUCUGUUAGUCUGCCACUCAACACGUAUUUAUCCACCAGACAGACAGUGAGAUAGUGAAGGGGACCAGAAUCUGCCACCCCAAAAUAUACCACUUUGGCAUAAGGAUUGUUUUGAUUUGAAAGCAAUUAGCUCUCUGCCUUCCCCUUUUCUGUCUAAAAGUAGGACAUAAAUUUCCUUUUGAAAAUUUACAAAUUUCCAUUUGUAAAGGUGUCUCCCUCUCCUGUACCAGCAAGAAAACUACUCUGGAGGCAACUCUUAGCACCCAGGAUGUCUCUUAUCCACAUAACAAACCUUACUAAAUGACCCUUAUUUCCUGUACAUUUCCUAUUCACCUUCCUAUAAUUUAUCUCCUCCCCAGAAGCCCCAGAUCACUUUGCUUUUGUCUAGCCUAAGAUAGUAUAUAACCCCAAAUUCUAACUGCUUCCUUGAGUCACAUUUCUUUGUGAACUCCUGUGCGUAUGCACAUACUUAAAUCUGUUUUUUUUCUGUUAAUCUGCCUUUUAUCAGUUUUAUUUGCAAGCUUCAGCAACUGAAGUUGAAACUGCCUUUGCAAAAAUUAUAACAGUCAGAAAAUUAUGACAGUGAAAGAGGUCUGAUCCAACCAACUCUAUCUUGCCUUUAACCUCCAAAUUGCCCUUGAUCAAGGCAUGGGCCAAGCUAACUUUGGGAGAAAUUUAUAAUUUAAAUGAUAAUAGCCCUCCCCAAAACUAAACUGUCUUUGUAAAACUAAUGAAAGGCCACCAGGUUGGGAGGAUGAUUGGGGCCUGAAUUCCACUAAGAUGUAGGCAUAAAUGAUUACCGGCCAUUAUUCUGGAGGCCACAAGGUUUGCAACUUCCGCAAUUACUCCUGUAAAUAACAUCACUAUUGUAGAACCUAACAUUGGCCUUUUGAGAUGUCUUUUCAGAUUUUUGCAUUUCAGAUGAUCCAAUGGCCCCAUCUAGACUGGAGACACCAACUCAUGACUCAGCUGGCCUUGUGGCCCACACCCAGAAGUGGACUCAGUGCAUGAGGACUAUUUUCCACACUCCUAUGAUAGCAUCCCCAACCAAUCAGCAGGACCAUUUCCUAGCCCCUUGCCCACCAAACUAUCUUUUAAAAAACCUGGCUGGGCGCAGUGGCUCACACCUGCAAUCCCAGCACUUUGGGAGUCUGAGGUGGGUGGAUCACGAGGUCAGGAGUUCAAGACCAGCCUGGCUAAGAUGGUGAAACCCUGUCUCUACUAAAAAUACAAAAAAAAUUAGCCGGGCAUGGUGGCAGGCACCUGUAAUCCCAGCUACUUGGGAGGUUGAGGCAGAGAAUUGCUUGAACCCAGAGGCGGAGGUUACAGUGAGCCGAGAUCACUCCACUGCACUCCAGCCUGGAUAACAGAGCAAGACUCUGUCUCAAGGAAAAAAAAAAACAACCUAGCCUCCACAUUUUCAGAGAGGCUCGUUUGAGUAAUAAUAAAACUCUGGUCUCCCAUUUAGCUGGCUCUUCUUGUAUUAAACUCUUUUUCUAUUGCAAUAACCCUGUCUUGAUAAAUUAGCUUCAUCUGGGAAGCAGGCAAGAAGAACUUAUUGGAUGGUUAUAUAGUGGGCUUCUAGCAUGGCCUAGAGAUGCAGAGGCCAUGGCAGAUAAAGCCAACUUCCUCCAACUGAGUAGAGGACUCAGGGGCCCAGAGGAGUCAGAAGGGGAGAUGGGAGCCAAGGAUGAGGAAGAACUCCUGGAAAGGCCUGAGAAAGAAGGACCCUAAGUUUAGCAUCUUAGGUCCCGAAAAAUGGCUGAAGGAGAGGAAAAGAUGGAGAGAAAGAGUAUUGUGACAUGAACCUGCCCCUGUGCCUCGAGUUCCUGGGAGUUUCUUGUUAGCUUCUGUGUCCUGUUUUUCUGUAUCCUCUGCAAAGGAAAGAUGAAAUCUGUUGCCACAUAGGCGAUGGGGUUCAGGACACACUACUCCAAAAGAUGGCAUCUUGUCAUAUUGAAGAAAAUAGCAGAAACUGGACCAUUGGUCUUACCUUUCCCCAUACUUCUCCCCUGAAGUGGAUUAUAAAACCUAGGAAGGACUCUCUGACUGAGACGGUUUGGCUGUGUCUCCACCCAAAUCUCAUCUUGAAUUGUAACUCCCACAAUUCCCACAUGUCAUGGGAGGAACCCAGUGGGAGGUGAUUGAAUUAUGGGGGCGAGUCUUUCCUGCACUGUUCUUGUGAUAGUGAAUGAGUCUCAUGAGAUCUGAUGGUUUGAUAAGGGGAAGCCCGUUUUGCUUGGCUCUCAUUCUCUCUCUUUGCCUGCCACCAUCCACGUAGGAUGUGACUUGCUCCUCCUUGUUUUCCAACAUGAUUGUGAGGCCUCCCCAGCCACGUGGAACUGGAGAAGACCACAGAAGCUCUGCAUUUGGAACUUUUCCUGGAUUCUGUCCCAUUUGCUUCUUCCCAUGACCGAUUUUGAUCUACCACCCUGGCCCAUCAUGCCCCCAUCCUGUACCUAUAAAAACUCUGAGACCCUCGCAGGCAGAGACACAAGCCGCUGGACGUCGAGAGGAACACAUUGGUGGAGGAACUCACAGGUGGCUGGAUGUCAAGAGGAACACACUGGCGGAAGAGCACACUGACAAGCACCAGCAGACAACGGCACGCUGGGGCACGCCGGCAGGCCAUCAACCUGCAGAACGAUGUGGAGUUUGGCCUGGGCAGUCGGAGGAGAGUCCAGCUGCUGAGCAGUCCGACUCCAGGAAAAAAACACCUUCCCAUUCCAUCUCCCUUCUGGCUCUCCCAUCUUCUGAGAGCUACUUCCAUUCAAUAAAACCUUGCACUCAUUCUCCAAGCCCAAGUGUGAUCUGAUUCUUCCGGUACACCAAGGCAAGAAACCCUGGGAUACCGAAAGCCCUCUGUCGUUGCGAUAAGGCAGGGGGUCUAAUUGAGCUGUGUAACACAAGUUGCCUACAGACGGCUAAACUGAAAGAGC